rnacentral:snRNA from 1 species
AUCGCUUCUCGGCCUUUUGGCUAAGAUCAAGUGUAGUAUCUGUUCUUAUCAGUUUAAAAGUAAAGGUAUCCAUAAACUGCAUAUGUGUGAAGCACUGAGGUUGAGAACCACUCAUAAUGAUGAGAAAUCAUUGUGUUUGGGUGAGAUGUCAUGAAAAGUGUUGUGUGUAACACUAAGAAGAUCAACAUGCCAUCU